rnacentral:rRNA from 1 species
UAAUACAGAGACUGCAAGCGUUAUUCGGAUUCACUGGGCGUAAAGGGUGCGCAGGCGGUUGGGUGUGUCAGAUGUGAAAUCCCGAGGCUCAACCUCGGAACUGCGUCUGAAACUACUCGACUAGAGUACUGGAGAGGGUAACGGAAUUCACGGUGUAGCAGUGAAAUGCGUAGAUAUCGUGAGGAACACCAGAGGCGAAGGCGGUUACCUGGACAGUUACUGACGCUCAGGCACGAAAGCAUGGGGAGCAAAAGGGAUUAGAUACCCCUGUAGUCCAUGCCCUAAACGGUGCACACUAGGUCUUAGCGGAUUCGACCCCACUAGGGCCCAAGCUAACGCGUUAAGUGUGCCGCCUGAGGACUACGGUCGCAAGACUA